AUGGCAGCUCUGGGCAUGAUCCUUAUCCUGGCAGCUUACUCAGGAGUCAGCUCCCAGAUCCAACUGACCCAGUCUGGACCAGAAGUCAAGAAGCCCUGGGGGUCCAUAAACAUGACCUGUAAGACCUCUGGUCACACAUUUACUUACCUUGGCAUAAACUGGAUACAACAGGCCACUGCAAAAGAACUUGAGUACAUUGGAUUUAUCAAUCCCAAUACUGGUGGUACUGGCUAUGCCGAGGCUUUCAAAGAACAAUUCACCAUCACUAGGGACACCUCCAUCAGCACAGCCUAUCUGCAGCUGAACAGCCUGAAGAUGGAUGACACAGCCUUGUAUUACUGCACAAGGUCACAGUAA